GGGGUUGUAACUCAGUGGUAGAGUGUUCUUUUUGAAUGCGAAAAGCCCGGAGUUCAAUCGUCCGCAACUCCA
rfam:Daphnia pulex DAPPTscaffold_2589_Cont14303, whole genome shotgun sequence.